GACGAACGCUGGCGGCGUGCCUAAUACAUGCAAGUAGAACGCUGAAACUUGGUGCUUGCACCGAGCGGAUGAGUUGCGAACGGGUGAGUAACGCGUAGGUAACCUGCCUGGUAGCGGGGGAUAACUAUUGGAAACGAUAGCUAAUACCGCAUAAGAGUAGAUGUUGCAUGACAUUUGCUUAAAAGGUGCAAUUGCACCACUACCAGAUGGACCUGCGUUGUAUUAGCUAGUUGGUGGGGUAACGGCUCACCAAGGCGACGAUACAUAGCCGACCUGAGAGGGUGAUCGGCCACACUGGGACUGAGACACGGCCCAGACUCCUACGGGAGGCAGCAGUAGGGAAUCUUCGGCAAUGGACGGAAGUCUGACCGAGCAACGCCGCGUGAGUGAAGAAGGGUUUCGGAUCGUAAAGCUCUGUUGUAAGAGAAGAACGAGUGUGAGAGUGGAAAGUUCACACUGUGACGGUAGCUUACCAGAAAGAGACGGCUAACUACGUG
rnacentral:rRNA from 1 species